rnacentral:rRNA from 1 species
AGUUGAGCGUCUCUAAGCCAUGGUAGAGACGCAGCGUACGGCUCAGUAACACGUGGCUAACCUACCCUUAGGACGGGGACAACCCCGGGAAACUGGGACUAAUACCCGAUAGGUGAGGAGGCCUGGAAUGGUUCUUAGUCGAAAAGGCGUUGAAACCAUGCUUUUCGACGUCGCCUAAGGAUGGGGCCGCGUCCGAUCAGGUUGUUGGUGGGGUAACGGCUCACCAAGCCUUUAACCGGUACGGGCCGUGAGAGCGGGAGCCCGGAGAUGGGCACUGAGACAAGGGCCCAGGCCCUACGGGGCGCAGCAGUCGCGAAAACUCCGCAAUGCGCGAAAGCGUGACGGGGCUACCCCGAGUGCCGUCCGCUGAGGAUGGCUUUUCCCCGGUGUAAUGAGCCGGGGGAAUAAGGAGAGGGCAAGACUGGUGUCAGCCGCCGCGGUAAUACCAGCUCUCCGAGUGGUAGGGAUGAUUAUUGGGCUUAAAGCGUCCGUAGCCGGCUUAGCAAGUCUUCUGUUAAAUUCAGCGACCUAAUCGUUGAGCCGCGGGAGAUACUACUAGGCUAGGAGGCGGGAGAGGCCGACGGUAUUCUCGGGGUAGGGGUGAAAUCCUAUAAUCCCGGGAGGACCACCAGUGGCGAAGGCUGUCGGCUAGAACGCGCUCGACGGUGAGGGACGAAAGCUGGGGGAGCGAACCGGAUUAGAUACCCGGGUAGUCCCAGCCGUAAACGAUGCGGGCUAGGUGU